AUACGGAGGAUGCAAGCGUUAUCCGGAUUUAUUGGGUUUAAAGGGUGCGUAGGCGGUUUGCUAAGCGGGAGGUGAAAUGCCGGCGCUCAACGUCGGGAGUGCCUCCCGAACUGGUGGACUGGAAUGACUCUGCCGUGGGCGGAAUGUGUAGUGUAGCGGGGAAAUGCUUAGAGAUUACACAGAACACCGAUUGCGAAGGCAUCUCACGAAGGGUUGAUUGACGCUGAGGCACGAAAGCGUGGGGAUCAAACAGGAUUAGAUACCCUGGUAGUCCACGCAGUAAACGAUGAUGGCUAACCGCUGGUUUAUUCGGAUCAGUGGCCAAGCGAAAGCGAUAAGCCAUCCACCUGGGGAGUACGACCGCAAGGUUGAAACUCAAAGGAAUUGACGGGG
rnacentral:rRNA from 1 species